GGAGAUUAAUACGGUACUAUGAACCAACAUGCCGACCGGAAAGCCUGAAGCUAAGCUAACUGCAGCCUUGGAAAAUGCCAAGAUGGCGGAUCACGACUAUUCACAGAUGGAUAUAACAACCACUGGAGGUGUAAAGAGAAAAUCCUCGACUGUCACUCCAACGAAAAGCACUCCGCCGCCACCUUCAAAGGUAAAAAGUCCUCAAGAGCCACCUGUUGUCCCAGAUGAGGCGUUCGUACAGGCUAUUGAAAAGCUAACCGCUAAAAUAGACAACUUUGGCGCUCAGCUAAGAGAAAACUCCGUCAUGGUGGCUAACAUUUCCAAGCUCGUGGAGAUGAAUGCAGCUGAGAUUAAAGAUUGCAAAGCUAAAAUGCAAUCAAUGGAAAAGGAAAUGCCCCGGUUCGUCAAAGAAAAUGAGGAACUGACAGAAAAAGUGACUGAGUUGGAGCGAUACAAGAGGCGCUGGAGCCUCAAAAUUCAUGGCCUGAAAGAAAAAGAUGACGAACACAUUCGAGACAUAGUCAUUGGUAUUCUUUCAAAGAUUGCGCCGCAGUGGGCUACGUCGAUGGAAACCGUAGUUGACACCGUUCACCGCCUUGGGAGACGAGAGGAAGGGAAAAGCCGUCAAGUCAUUGUGCAGUUCACCAUGAGAUAUCACCGGGAUGCCUUCUGGAAGCUGUCCAAGAACUCUAAGAUCUGUAAAGACUUGGGGAUUCACUUCAAGCAAGAUUUCUGCAAAGCUGACCGUGAGGCUCGUGCUGCUGCAUGGCCGAAGAUGGAGCAAGCCAGAGCUGCUGAGAAGACUGUGUACUAUAGAGGACAUGUGGGGUACAUCAACGGAUUUAGGGUUGCACUAGAUUAGUUUAUCUACACAUUACAACAUGUGCCUUACACUCUCAAUUAUAUAAGAGUCCCUUGAAAGGCUCUAUGUUUAAAAUGUUUCCAGAUUACUCAGGUUUUCUACUUUGAUAUGUUAUAAGCUAAGUAUUUUUAUUACAUGCUGCUGUUGAAAGUAUUUCUGAAAUGUUCAGAUGCACUUUAUGUGGACCACAGUUUAAAGGUCGUGCGGGAGGUUAAUAAUAUAACUUGAAAGAUGCACUAUUUUUCAAAAAUUAUAUUCUACCACUUACCUCACUUAUUAGUGCUGUUUACAUUCAUAAGCUCAUUAAACCACUUACUACAGAAGGACAAGAAGAUUUGUUCUCCUACUAUUACUAAGUUCAAUAGUGUUGGAUUGGGGCAGUACAAUAGUGCUUAUUUCCAAAACAAACGUCCAUACUUUCUUACUGAAUUUACAUCUCCUUCUUUUAUGUCUUUUCAGUUCUACAUUCUCUUUUGUUUCACUUAAUGCUAGGGGUCUUAGAGAUUCUAUAAGAAGAAGAUCAACCUUCCUUUUUUGCAAAAAUGAAAAAAGUGCAAUGUUAUCUCCCACAAGAGACACACUCAAAUGACAUGGAUGAAAAAUUUUGGUCAAAUCAAUGGGGUGACAAAAUUCUUUUUAGUCAUGGCACAAAUAGAUCAGCAGGUGUCGCCAUAUUAUUAAAUAACUUCCCUGGGAAAGUUUUGACCACAAAUGGAGAUUCUUUAGGUCACUGGAUACAAUGUGUUCUUGAGGCAAAUGAUGACUUUCUGAUUCUAGGUAACAUUUAUGGGUACAAUAACCCUAACCAAAACAAAAAUAUGUUCUCUGAAAUUACAAAAACAAUUAAGGAUCUUUUGUCAAAGAUAUCCUACUGACAAUUUUAUUUCUGGUGGUGAUUACAACAUGGCGAUGGAUGAAUGGCUAGACAGAUCUCCUUCCAAAUACCAAAGACACUUUUACAAUCCUCUGUUGCUUGAUUUUUGUAGUGUGUUUAACCUAAAAGAUGUAUGGCGAUUUGAUAAUCCUUAUACCCAAAUCUACACAUGGUUCAAACCAGUGGCUCAAUCAAAUCCAGAAUUGAUUUUUGGUUGGUGUCAGAUAAUAGGCCUGGGCUGGAUCCAACUUCCAUAAUUUCUGCUGCACCUUUAACAGAUCACUGUUUGAUUAAACUUAAUUUUAUGUCCACAAACAAAUGCUUUAAAAAAGGUUAUUGGAAAUUUAAUUCAAACCUCCUGAAAAGUGAGCUUUUCUGCCAAGAAAUUAUUACAGUGAUCAGUAAUAUAACCACAGAUUCAAACCUCUUAACCUAUAGAAGCAAAUGGGAAUAUUUAAAAUAUAAAGUACGCCAGAUUUCUAUUUCAGAUAGCAAAAUAUUAAGCAGGGAAAGUAAGGAAAAAGAGAUGGAAAUCAUUACAGAAAUAAACAGUAUAUGUAAAAAAUCAUUUCUAAAUGAGAACAGCAAACAAAAACUAACUGGAUAACUUCUAUCUUUCUAAAGCCAAAGGAGCAUAUAUUAGAUCAAGAGCGAAAUGGAUAGAAGAGGGAGAGAGGAGUUCUGCAUACUUUUGUAGACUGGAAAAAGGAGACAAGAACAAAAUGCAAUAAGAACACUACUGAUAGAUAAUCAAGAAUGUACUGACCCAGACUUAAUUUCUAAGGAAAUCUUUAAAUUUUACAGUGAGCUGUACUCCUCUUCUUAUUCACCCUCAGAUGCUGAUGCUUUCUUUGAGCAUAUUAAAAAGUGAAUCCCCAGAAUUGAUGAGUAUUUCAAAAGCAUGUGCGAGGCUGAGAUAAGUAUGGAUGAAGUGGAAAAAGCCAUAAGAUGCUUAACAUUAGACAAGUCCCCGGGCUCAGAUGGUCUAACAAGCAACUUCUAUAGACAUUUCUGGGUACAUCUUAAAGAUCUCUUUUUUUGUAUGUUAAAUAUCUGAAUCUCAUAUUCUUCCAACUACUAUGAAGCAGGGGUUGAUCACUCUCAUCCCUAAGCCUGGUAAAGAUUCCAUAUUAAUUGACAACCUUAGACCCAUAACCUUGCUCAAUACUGAUUACAAACUAUUAACACAUAUUUAUGCAAACAGACUGAAAUCUGGUAUUACACAAAUUAUCUCAGAUACACAAUCUGGUUUUAUUAAAGGACGAUCAAUUCAUAAUAAUAUACGGCUUGUGCUUGACUUGCUGGAAUACAACCAUCUAAAUGAAGAUGAAGGUUUUAUUUUGUUCUUAGAUUUUUUUUAAAGCAUUCGAUACAGUCGAACAUAAGUUUAUUUUUAGCACCUUAGAACUGUUUGGUUUUGGAAAAAACUUCAUUAACAUGAUUAAACUAAUUUAUAAGGAUACUAACAGUAUAGUCAUACUACCACAAAGAACAUGUCCAAGAUUCUCAGUUAAUAGAGGAAUUAAGCAAGGCUGUCCCAUUUCUCCCUUACUAUUUAUCACAGCAGCGGAAAUGCUUUCUAUUCUUAUAAAAAAAGAAACAGAUUUUGAAAAUUUGAUGGUGUUAGGCAAACAACUGGCAAUUAGCCAACUGGCUGAUGACACAACCAUAUUCAUGAAAAAUACUGAACAAAUCCCCUAAGUCCUCAAUACAAUUAAUUUCUUUUCCAAGGCAUCUGGACUAAAAUUAAACCUUAAAAAAUGUGAAUUAUUACCAAUACAUAGUUCCCCUCUAACUACAAUUCAUAAUAUCCCUGCUAAAUCAACCAUUAAAUACUUAGGCAUACACAUUACUAAGGACAUUAACACUCUAGAUAACCUCAACAUUUGGAAUACUUUAGAUAAAUGUAAAUCAUAUUUAAAUAUGUGGUCUCAAAGAGACAUCUCUAUUGUUGGUCGAAUUUUCCUCACAAAAAUGGAAUGUCUCUCAAGAUUCAUUUACCCAGCCUAUUCGCUAUCACUCUCUCAAAGUGCAAUAAAGACUAUAAACCAAGCAAACUUCAAUUAUAUAUGGAAUAGGAAAACACACUACAUCAGAAAAGGAAUUAUGGUUAAAGGAUACGAGAAGGGAGGUCUUAAAGCCAUCGAUAUAGAUUGUAUUAAUGGCACCAUUAAAAUUAAUUGGCUAAGAUCCUUGUUAAGAGAUGAAAAUAGCCAAUGGUUCCACAUCCCAAACCAUAUUUUUAGGGGGAAUUAACUUUCUCCUUAGAUGUGAUUUUGAUCUGAAAAAGAUCCCCAUCAAAUUAUCUGCCUUCCAUCAACAGGUUUUACUAUACUGGAAAAUGAUUUUCAAGCAUAAUUUUAGUCCCCAUAACACCCCCAUACAUUGCAGGUAUGUCUUACUUAGAAAUAAAUCCUUUUUUUUUUUUUUUUACCAAAAUUGGUUAGAGAAAGGAAUAUGGUCUGUAAUGCAUCUGUUAGAUAACACUGGAAAUAUUAUACCCUUUGCAGAAUUUUGCUCCAAAUUUAAUCUUAAUGACAGAAGGCAAUACAAUAAUAUAAUCAAAGCAAUUCCUCAAUCUAUAAUUAUAAUGUCUAAUAACUUACUUCAAAGUAAUAUUAACCCAAAUCUUCCUUCAUUUUUGGUGAAUGGUCAUAAUCUCAAUAGCUUAAAGUUGCCUAACGUCACAAUCCGCAAAUCUUUAUUAAAGAAUUAUAUCCAUUCUCAACAAACAGAAACUCAAUUCUACAAUUAUUCUCUAAAAAGGAAGCUGAGAAUUUAAGGGCCAAAUUCUUUAAGUAUCCAAUUGCACCAAAAAUGAAGGAAGUUCACUUUAAAAUUCUUAAUGGAAUAUACCCUUCUGCUGAAUUUUUACGAUGUCAUUUUGGUUUUGAGCAUAACAAUUGCUCAUUCUGUGAUGAUGAAUUUGAAACCACAGAACAUUUAUUUUAUGAUUGCAAGUUUAUUCAUGUCUUUUGGGAAGAUUUACAUGACUGGUUAUUCCCCAAAUUUGUCAAUUUCUCCAAUUUAACAAAAGAGAGUAUUUUAUAUGGCAUACCUGUAAAAGAUCCAACACAUGAUCUGGGAAUUAAUAUAAUCAUCAUCCUUGCAAAAUUUUUUAUACAUAAGAACAAAUUCAUGAAAACAAAACCCCAAAUCUAUGUUUUUCAUAAGGAGUUGUGUCAUUAUUUCUCAUCUUUAAAAUGCAUGGAGAAAAAGACGGCUGUGAAGCUUCGUAAUUUAGUAGAGGAGCUUAACCUCACAGAGUUCCCCGAGCUCUCUCCCCUUUAUUUCCUAUUUUUUUACUUAAGUUUUUUGUUGUUGUUUCUUUAAUUUACUUAUGUAUUUAUUUUCUUUACUCUCAGUAAUUGGGUAAACUUUUACUGUGACAUUUUGACUAUUUGUACUGUUAAAACCCAUAUUGAGGCUUGUCUGUAGCCUAUUUGGUUGUAUAACACUGUUCUGUGCCAAAUUGUAUUGUAAAUUUGUCAAUCAAAAUUUAAAAAAAAAAAAAAAAAUCAUCUGCAGCCGGUGUCGUGCCAAAAACUGAUGCUCCGACACAAACUAGCCGUUUCUCAAUAUGCGUUCUUGUAUACUUCUGACAUGUCAUCAGUCACAGCCAUAGACUGUAUAAAAUAAUGGACGUAGUCACCGUGACGUCAUCCAUCAGUUUCUGAAGAGUGGAUUUGAAGCUCAAAAUACUCCGCUCUGGACGUGGCUAUCUUGGCAGUGCCUGACUCCGCCAAACUCCCGGAUCAUCAAAAAUGGGCAAAGAGGCGGGCCGAAGGAAGCCUGGUUGUUUAAACACGCCCACCUCGCUUGGCGCUGCUAAGUUAGCUAAGGCUAACAAGCUAGGCUAAGAAGCUACGAGGCUAACAAGCUAGGCUAAGAAGCUACGCUACUUUGGCUAACCCUGCCAGCUCCCUCACGAAACUUGAGAGUGUGGAGCAUUGGUGACAGCUAUGUCCGGCGUGGUGUCCAGAGAGCUGCAGAGACCUUGGGAGUCACCCUCUUAAUGCCUACUGCCGGGCGUCCGUGUCUGCUGGUUUGGCUGGGGUGGACUGCAGUGGGGAGGCCUUUUCUCCUUCUUUUCCCACUCCCUGCGAGGAAGAGCAGCACCAGAUGUCCUCAUCAUCCACUGUGGCGGCAGUGACAAGCUGGUCAGCAUGAUGGAGGAGGACCUGCACCAGCUUCACUUCCAGCAUCCUGGCAUUAAGAUAAUAUUUUCUUCAUUGGCCCAAAGGUGCAGGUGGGAGGCUGGUGACAAUCCAGCAAAGAUUGAUAAGGCCAGGAAAUGUGUUUACAAUUAGAAAUUAUAUGUUUUUAAGUAAAUUAGUUAAUUGUCUUAAAGACCACCUCCAAACGCAGUGAACUGCUUACUGUUGGCAGUGUCACUGCUUUUGAAUUUGGCCUUUAGGACACAUUUUGUUAGGCCUGAUCAUAGCCCAGGCUGUCAAGGCUAAUGUUGAAUUUUUGAUAUUCAUCUAUAACUUGUCAAUAAAUUCUAUUUAUAUUUGCA